GCCUUCGAAACUUCAGCUUUCUCAAGUGACCAGGUUAGAAAAUGUAUGGAUUCCAUGGCCUAACGGUCAUCACUGGUAGACAGGCAUAUCUGAAGAAAAAAAGAAAUACAGAUGGGAGACGAACUCCUCUCUUGCCCUGAGAACACUCCCACUAGUUUUUCAAGGUCCAGUGCAGGCUGGCCAGGACUGUCAGUGUGUUGGACUUCGGGGAUGCAGAAUUCCUUCUUCCUGUGAUUCUGUCACUUUCUUACCUGCUAAAGUCACCAGGACAGGAGAAGGUCCUCGGAGCCCCACCAGCCUACAUCACUCUGAGGAGGAGGUCAGAGCGACUCUACUGCCAUUUGUCUAGACAACAAAGCUUAAGUUUUUCCCUCCAAAGAGCUGGCUUCAAAACUGUAUUGGAGGCGGAUCUGGGUGGCUCAGUUCAGUAUCUGCCUCUGGCUCAGGUCAUGAUCCCAGGGCCCUGGAAUUGAGCUCCACAUUGCAGAGAGCCUAUUUCUCCCUCUCCCUCUGCCUUU